rnacentral:rRNA from 1 species
AGAGUUUGAUCAUGGCUCAGAACGAACGCUGGCGGCGUGGAUAAGACAUGCAAGUCGAGCGAGAUUUUUUCCUGUAGCAAUACAGGGAAAAGUCUAGCGGCGAACGGGUGCUUAACACGUGGGCAACCUGCCGAGAAGUGGGGGGAUAGCUCGCCGAAAGGCGAAUUAAUACCGCAUGUGAUUAGAGAGGACAUCCUUUCGAAAUCAAAGUCGGGGCAACCUGACGCUUUUUGUGGGGCCCGCGGCCUAUCAGCUAGUUGGUGAGGUAACGGCUCACCAAGGCUUUGACGGGUAGCUGGUCUGAGAGGACGACCAGCCACACUGGGACUGAGACACGGCCCAGACACCUACGGGUGGCAGCAGUCGAGAAUUUUUCUCAAUGGGGGAAACCCUGAAGGAGCGACGCCGCGUGGAGGAUGAAGGUCUUCGGAUUGUAAACUUCUGUCAUUGGGGAACAAGGUGCAUACGUUAACUGCGUGUGCAUUGAUAGUACCCGAAGAGGAAGAGACGGCUAACUCUGUGCCAGCAGCCGCGGUAAUACAGAGGUCUCAAGCGUUGUUCGGAUUCAUUGGGCGUAAAGGGUGCGUAGGCGGCGCGGUAAGUCGGGUGUGAAAUCUUGGAGCUUAACUCCGAAACUGCAUUCGAUACUGCCGUGCUUGAGGACUGGAGAGGAGACUGGAAUUUACGGUGUAGCGGUGAAAUGCGUAGAUAUCGUAAGGAAGACCAGUGGCGAAGGCGGGUCUCUGGACAGUUCCUGACGCUGAGGCACGAAGGCCAGGGGAGCAAACGGGAUUAGAUACCCUAGUAGUCC